AGGGGUGUGGCUCAGUAGUAGAGCACAUGCUUAGCAUUCAGAGGUCCUGGGUUCAAUCCCCAGUACCUCCU
rnacentral:tRNA from 1 species